rnacentral:rRNA from 1 species
AUUGAACGCUGGCGGCAGGCCUAACACAUGCAAGUCGAACGGUAGCACAGAGAGCUUGCUCUCGGGUGACGAGUGGCGGACGGGUGAGUAAUGUCUGGGAAACUGCCCGAUGGAGGGGGAUAACUACUGGAAACGGUAGCUAAUACCGCAUAAUGUCGCAAGACCAAAGAGGGGGACCUUCGGGCCUCUUGCCAUCGGAUGUGCCCAGAUGGGAUUAGCUAGUUGGUGAGGUAAUGGCUCACCAAGGCGACGAUCCCUAGCUGGUCUGAGAGGAUGACCAGCCACACUGGAACUGAGACACGGUCCAGACUCCUACGGGAGGCAGCAGUGGGGAAUAUUGCACAAUGGGCGCAAGCCUGAUGCAGCCAUGCCGCGUGUAUGAAGAAGGCCUUCGGGUUGUAAAGUACUUUCAGCGGGGAGGAAGGCAAUGCGGUUAAUAACCGUGUUGAUUGACGUUACCCGCAGAAGAAGCACCGGCUAACUCCGUG